GACGACCAGUGGCGAAAGCGUUUAACUAGAACGAAUCUGACGGUAAGGAACGAAGGCUAGGGUAGCAAACCGGAUUAGAUACCCGGGUAGUCCUAGCUGUAAACAUUGCCCAUUUGAUGUUGCUUUCCCGUUGAGGGAAGGCAGUGUCGGAGCGAAGGUGUUAAAUGGGCCGCUUGGGAAGUAUGGUCGCAAGACUGAAACUUAAAGGAAUUGGCGGGGGAGCACCGCAACGGGAGGAAUGUGCGGUUUAAUUGGAUUCAACGCCGGAAAACUCACCGGGAACGACCUGUGCAUGAGAGUCAACUUGACGAGCUUACUCGAUAGCAGGAGAGGUGGUGCAUGGCCGUCGUCAGCUCGUACCGUAGGGCGUUCACUUAAGUGUGAUAACGAGCGAGACCCACAUCUUUAAUUGCAAAUGUAUAUGGGAAUAUGCAUGCACUUUAGAGAAACCGCCAGCGCUAAGCUGGAGGAAGGAGUGGUCGACGGCAGGUCAGUACGCCCCGAAUUUCCCGGGCUACACGCGCAUU
rnacentral:rRNA from 1 species